UCCUUUUGUAGAUAAUCUAAGGUCUAGCCUGCCCACUGAAGUUUUAAAUGGCCGUGGUAUUUUGACCGUGCUAAGGUAGCAUAAUCAUUAGUUUUUUAAUUAAAAACUGGAAUGAAAGGUUGGAUGAGAAAAUAGCUGUCUCUAUUGAAUUUAAUUAGAAUUUUAUUUUUAAGUUAAAAAGCUUAGUUAUUGUUAAAAGACGAGAAGACCCUAUAGAGUUUAAUUAUUUAGUAAAAAUUAUAUUUUAGUAUUAAUUUAUUUAUUUUAUUAAAUAAUUUAAUUGGGGUGAUUGAAAAAUUUAAUUAACUUUUUUUUAUUUAAUAACAUUAAUUUAUGAAUAAAUGAUCCAAUAUUUUUGAUUAUAAGAUAAAAUUACCUUAGGGAUAACAGCGUAAUUUUUUUAGAAAGUUCAUAUUAAAAAAAAAGAUUGCGACCUCGAUGUUGGAUUAAAAUAAAUUUUUGGUGUAGAAGCUAAAAUAUUAGGUCUGUUCGACCUUUAAAAUUUUACAUGAU
rnacentral:rRNA from 1 species